rnacentral:rRNA from 1 species
UUUUGGACAAUGGGCGCAAGCCUGAUCCAGCCAUGCCGCGUGCAGGAUGAAGGCCUUCGGGUUGUAAACUGCUUUUGUACGCCCACGAAAAGACUCUGGUUAAUACCUGGGGUCCAUGACGGUACCGUAAGAAUAAGCACCGGCUAACUACGUGCCAGCAGCCGCGGUAAUACGUAGGGUGCAAGCGUUAAUCGGAAUUACUGGGCGUAAAGCGUGCGCAGGCGGUUAUGUAAGACAGAUGUGAAAUCCCCGGGCUCAACCUGGGAACUGCAUUUGUGACUGCAUAGCUAGAGUACGGCAGAGGGGGAUGGAAUUCCGCGUGUAGCAGUGAAAUGCGUAGAUAUGCGGAGGAACACCGAUGGCGAAGGCAAUCCCCUGGGCCUGUACUGACGCUCAUGCACGAGA